CAGUCGCCGCGGGAAUACGAAGGGUGCAAGCGUUACUCGGAAUUACUGGGCGUAAAGCGUGCGUAGGUGGUGGUUUAAGUCCGUUGUGAAAGCCCUGGGCUCAACCUGGGAAUUGCAGUGGAUACUGGGUCACUAGAGUGUGGUAGAGGAUAGUGGUAUUUCCGGUGUAGCAGUGAAAUGCGUAGAGAUCGGAAGGAACAUCUGUGGCGAAGGCGACUAUCUGGGCCAACACUGACACUGAGGCACGAAAGCGUGGGGAGCAAACAGGAUUAGAUACCCCGGUAGUCCCUGUCUCUUAUAC
rnacentral:rRNA from 1 species